ensembl:lncRNA
GUUAUUUUACUGUAACGCUGCUUUUUCCAAGAUUCCUUGGGAUCCAGGGAGACACGGCCCCAAAUGGCUCUCUAAAUGACGACACCGCAGUGCAGCUGAAACUAAUCUGUGAGUGGGAAGCAGAAGAGCAUGAAAUUCCUUAGCUUUUAAGCCACUGAAUCCGAGUGAGCCUUCUGGACUGCGUUUGUUUAUCGUCUCAGGAGUGUGUGUGUGUCUGUCUGUCUCAGUAUGUGAGUCCACACCCUGCUCUCUCUUCCUGGUUUUGACCCUUGUUAGUGGUCUGCAUCCUGGUUUGAGGGGGGACCCCGCUGAUUAGGAAAGAGAGUAAGUGGAAGGAUUAAGUGUUCUCAGAGACCUCCUGAGAGGGCCCUGGUAACUGCACGUGGCGAAGACGCUCCUCGAAACUGAUCGCUUAGUUUGAAGUCUGUUUCAGAGCCAUCUGCAAGCUCAUCUAGAAGUGCGGGGGUGAGUGCACUCCAUCAAACCAGUCAGUCCUAAGGGAAAUCAACCCUGAAUACUUAUUGGAAGGACUAUGCUGAAGCUGAAGCUCCAGUACUUUGGCCACCUGAUGUGAAGAGUCAGCUAAUUAGAAAAGACCCUGAUGCUGGGAAAGAUUGAAGGUGGGAGGAGAAGGGGACGACAGAGGAUGAGAUGGUUGGAUGGCAUCACUGACUCAAUGGACAUGAGUUUGAGUAAACUCUGGGAGUUGGUGAUGGACAGGGAGGCCUGGUGUGCUGCGGUCCAUGGGGUCACAAAGAGUCGGACACGACUGAGUGACUGAACAACAACAGUUGUCUGUUGGUUAAGCUGAACUGGCUAUUUGGGUACUGAAGGAGAUCUCCCCUUGAAAAUGGCCAAAUGGGGCUCUCUUAUGUUGUAAAAACUGGUUUUUGCCUGUGCAGUGAGAAGUGGCUUUCUAAGAGGAACCUGCUUUUCUCCUCCUGUGCCUUUGAGCUGUACACAUUUUGACAGUUCCUGAGACUGAAGAGGAAAGAGGGACAGCAGGGAAACUGAGGUCUCUGUGUGGAUGUCUGUCACAGAGGCACGUCUUCACCGACAGAGAGUAUCAGAAUUAUGCAGCAAUGUGCAAACGAGCUGUGUGACUCGCUGAAAAGAAACUAAAGUGAAAGGGAAGUCGGUCAGUCGUGUCUGACUCUUUGUGACCCCAUGGACUGUAGCCAACCAGGCUUCUCAGUCCAUGGGUUUCUCCAGGCAAGAAGACUGGAGUGGGUUGCCAUUUCCUUCUCCAGGGGAUCUUCCUGACCCAGGGAUCGAUCCUGGGUCUCCAGCAUUGGAGGCAGAUGCUUUAACCUCUGAGCCACCCGGGAAGCCCUAAAAGAAAUUAAGUGCUUACUAAAAAUACAAAAGACACCUACCCAAAUGAAUUUCAGGUUCAUGUGAUCUGGGAAAUACUCAGUAUUAAAUAUCUGGUCUGAAAGUUUAAGCUUGUUAAUCUUAAUACAGACAUGUUUCAAGAGACAUCAACUAUAAUUUUAUUAUACUUAAAGUUAAUAAGAUCUUAUUAAUUCUGUUACACAAUUCAUGAGCAAGGAAAGUAACUUGAUUCAAUGACUUAACUUUAAGUUAAAUAUAAUUGAGAUAAGAGUUUUGGGAGUUGAGCUCUUUGGGAAUAACUGUUUUAGGAAAUCUACUUAAAAAAAGUCUCUCCAGAUUUUGGCAACUUGAAAGUUUUGUUAAGUUAAAUAAUGGGGAGUCACUGUCUGAAUUGCUAAUUGCUAAACAAGUCUAAGUUCACCCCCCUUUUUUAUGAGAGAAAAACUAAAUAUGUUUGGGUUUGUUAGAAACAUAUGACACCACACUGAGGACAGAAGUUAUUCGAUGAGAUGACGUGUGUUUCUGAAGACUGUAGAAUACAUAAGUUUUCCAAUCAGGAAGCCCUGGUAUGAUCACAAGUCCUUGCUUCUGUUUUUGCUGGAGAUCAGGGUUCUUAAGGGCUGUUGUUGUUUAGUUGCUCGGUCACCUCCGACUCUUUUGUGACCCCAUGGACUGUACCCGCCAGGCUCCUCUGUCCAUAGAUUUCUCCAGGCAAGAAUACUGGAGUGGUUGCCGUUUCCUUCUGCGGGGGAUCUUCCCCACCCAGGGAUCCAACACGCGUCUUCUGCAUCGGCAGUGAAGGAGGAAACAGACAGAGCUGGACUCCCAUCGUAGGCCAGGCUGCGAACAUUAGGCUACACGCAUGGUCACCCUCCCAAUGGACUCUGAACUUUGUGCUCGGUGUCUAUAGAAACAGCAUACCAAUGGAAAACCAGACCCCCGGAUAAAAGAGCCUCAGGACUUGUACUUGGACUCUCCUUUGCCUAAAAGAAUAUGCUAAUUAUCUCUGUAACAGAACAAAGUGGUAAAUUCCAUUAUAUUUAUCGGGAUAUGACCAUAGACCUAUUGAUAAAUAUCCACUGUUUAUCUAGUCUUGUGACACGUGAAUCAUAGGUUAACUUUGAUCAUAUCUCUCUUUUACCUUGUCCAGACUAGUUUCAAGGAAUUUGGGGAGGUGGGUUUGAGCAAGUACACUUAGGGUAUAUAAGGUUUUCACAAAAACUGGUCGGGGUCCUUGGCUAAGAGGAGACUCUGCCUUGGGCCCGCCGGUGUAAUAAACCACACUCCACUAUCUGCAUUGUCCUUCUGAGUGAGUUUGUUUCCCGGAACGCGUGGCUACAACAUUUGGUGCAUUGGCCGGGAAACUCCUCACUUUGAGGAGACAAGUCCCAUUUGGGACUACUCCGAGGCCUUGCGGCUUGAAUCUUCUAGAGGCGGGAAGGCGCCUCACCCUUCUAGAAGGAUUCUGCUUCUCAACGCCCGGACCUUUCACGUUAGCAGGUAGUGGAUGGCAGCAGGGGAACUGAGCGCUCAGGUGAGGAGGAACCCACCCAGCAGAGUGGAAGAGGGGGCCUAAUCACCCCCCUGGGAGGGACUGGAAGGGGCACAGACCCACAGGAGCCUGGAAUAGGCAGGCGGUGAUUGCUUGGUACACAGGUUGACGAGCGUGCUACUGUUUAGGAAGGAAAUUUGUGAAGGUCAUUUAGGAGGUGUGUCCACGCCGUUUCGGGGAAAAUUAUUACCAAGCAAUCGCUAGGGGAUAUUAGGAUAGGCAGGAGGUGGUGAUUGCUUGGUACACAGGUCAAUGAGUGUGCUAGGGCUUAGGAAGGGAAUUUGUGAAGGUCAUUUAGGAGGUGUGUCCACGCCGUCUCAGGGAAAAUUAUUACCAGUGACCGCCGGGAGAUUUUAGGAUAGGAAACUCGUCCUUGUAUGCCCGUAUUCUGCCUUCCCCGAGGAGGUGUCCCGUCUGCUGUGAAAUUCUUGACCCCCUCGGAAUUGUUAGGCUAGAAGGAGGGGGGAUACAUAAGUGAGUAUGAAUUGGCUUUUCCAGAGAUGGCCUGGGACAUGAGAUAUUUAACCCAUCUGUGUUUUCAUCCGCACCUGAUCAAGCCCACCAAGGCAGAAUGGACUUUAAGGGAGAAAGUCUUGGACCACGUGGUAUUCUGGUUCGGCUGUGCUGACUGGCAGGUGAAGACACGCCGAUCCCCCUUCUCCCUCUGGGAUCUGGCAGGAUUUGGACGGGGAUGACCUGACCCCUCUCCCAUACUGGAUAAUGACGCGCCUGCCUCCCAGUGCUCCACCUGGACCGGAGGCCGCCUUGAUGCCCAAUCCAGAGCCAAGUGAAGUUCCUGCAGCAGCCACUGCAUUUGCGCCAGCUCUCCCAGAGUUCGUAGAGCUGCCGUUUUGGCAGGCUCCGAUCCCGGUGACAGAAGCCUCUAGCCAAUACUUCCAGGAUCCGGCUCCAGCUGAACUGCCCAAGCUAUACCUGCCUCUCCCAGUGAGCACUGACAAGAAGGGGAGGGAGAUGUUGGAAUUAAGCAGAGACUGCGCUCUGCCACUCUGCCGGAGAGCCGGAGGGAACGAAAGAGAACAGACGAGAUGUGCAAUGCUAGCUGCUGCUCCGGGAAAGUCUAUCUCGGGCCCUCCGGAAAACCUCAUCUGCCUCAGGGACAGGACAGUCCUUCAACUGGUCCCAACGGAGGCCCUGUCCCCGUUACAGCCAAACCAGUGUGCCGGGUGCCAAGCUUUUGGCCACUGGAAGAAUGAAUGCCCUAAGGCAAGGAAGGAAGAGGAAGCUCCCGCAGUUGUGGGGCUUGCUGACUUGGAAAGUAAAUAGGGCUGCUGGGGCUCAGAGAUACCAGCUCCCCGAGAGCCCAUGGUAACCUUAAAAGUGGGGGACCAAAACAUUGACUUCAUGGUGGAUACAGGAGCAGAACUGUCGGUAGUAACAAAACCUGUGGCACCACUGUCCAAAAAGAGACUACCACUGUAACUGGGGUAUCGGGAGAAGAGAUGAUUAAAUCGUUUUGCCAGCCCAGAAAAUGUCAGAUGGGGGGGCGCACCAAGUGAUUCAUGAAUUCCUCUACAUUCCUGAGUGCCCAGUACCCCUGUUGGAAAGAGACUUGCUUUCCAAACUAGGAGCAGAAGUGGCUUUCUCCACUGAGGAGAGGCCCACCUUCCGGAUGGACACUAUGACUUAUUUGCUCUCUCUCAAUGCCACCCCAGGAUGAGUGGAGGUUGUAUGAGCCUCCGAAGGAAGAACCAGGUGGGCCAGAAGAGCAUGAGAGAGAGCUAACUCAAUUAUUCCCUGAGGUCUGGGCGGAAGACAACCCCGCCUUCCCCCAGGCUGGGUAAACAUCAAGCCCCAGUGGUAACAGAACUCAAACCAGGUACCAUCCUGGUUAGAAAGAGCCAGUACCCACUACCAAUAGAGGCCUGGGCCAGCAUACUACCCCACAUCAAUAGAUUGAAACAAGUGGGCAUUCUAGAAGAAGGACAGGACUAUAGGCCUGUACAAGAUCUCAGGCUAGUCAACUAGGCUACUGUGACUUUACACCCCACUGUUCCAAACCCCUAUACCUUACUUAGCCUCUUCCUACCGAGGACUAAAGUUUGUACUCGCCUAGAUCUCAAGGAUGCCUUCUUCUGCGUACGCCUCGCCCCAGCGUCACAGCCCAUCUUUGCCUUUGAAUGGGAAGAUCCAGUCAGGGGCACCAAACAUCAGCUCACCUGGACUCCCCCACAAGGGUUUAAUAACUCCCCAGCCAUAUUUGGGGAAGCCUUGGCUUCUGGCCUGGACUCAUUCCAUCCGAAAGAGUAUGGAUGUUGGCUCCUACAUACGUGGAUGACCUGCUGCUGGCUGCCGAGACCAAGGAAAAAUGCUGGAAAGGGACAAAAGCUCUGCCCCAGCUGCUGAUGGAAGCAGGUUACCGGGUGUCGAAGGAGAAGGCCCAGAUCUGCAAGGAGGAGGUAAGGUAUCUGGGGUUUGUUUUAAAGAAGGACGCAAGGGUCCAGACCCUAGUUGGGUCCUGUAUACUGAUGGCACUAGCCUGAUAAAACAAGGACAACGGCUGUCAGGUUAGCCAAAGCGGAAGGGGCCAUCAAGACUGAAAAGGGAUGGUGGGAAUUGCCAAGUGGCAAAUUAUUGGCACCGGAGGAGCUGGCACACACUCUGGUAAGCCAAACACACCAAGCGACCCACCUAGGCAUGCUGCCUACUCACAGGUUAAUGCUGCCUCUCAGGUAUUCAGACAAAAACCUCCAGGUAUUCAGCGGAAAGGCAUGCUGCCCUUUGAACACCUGGGAGUGGACUUCACUGAAAUGAAACCUCACAGACACUACCGUUACCUGCUGGUCACGGUAUGUACAUUCUCGGGAUGGGUAGAAGCUUUUCCUACCUGGACUGAAAGGGCAUCAGAAGUAGCCCAGUGCCUGCUUAGGGAAAUAGUUCCCAGAUUUGGAUUUCCUACCAGCAUUGGAUCAGACAAUGGCCCAGCUUUUGUAGUUAUUUAGUACAACAAGCAAAACUUUAAACAUCAAAUGGAAACUGCACACUGCCCAGAGUUCUGAGAUGGUGGAAUGAACCAACCAGACACUUAAAGAGACUCUCCAAGUGGAUCAUAGAGACUGACUGCUUCUGGGUGGACUUGCUUCUGAUGGCUCUGCUCAGACUCAGGAUGACCCCACAGUCCCAAGGCUAUUCUCCAUACGAAAUACGAGAGGCCCCCUCCUAUAAAUAGGUGUCAACAAAUUUGCCUCAUGUAAGGGGGGAUAGGAUUUCGCAGCAGAUGGAACUGGGUAAGGUAAUAAAUCGGGUAACUAAGUUUGUACAAGAAAGGGUGCCUUCCCCCCUUGGGGAACAGAUUCAUGAGUUUACGCUUGGUGACCAAGUAUAGGUCAAAGACUGGAAACUUGAUUUACUAGCCCCUCAGUGGAAGGGGCUUAUACUGUUAUUCUAACUACCCCUACUGCAGUUAAAGUUGCAGGUAUUGCUCCUUGGAUCCAUCAUAUGAGGAUGAAGAGAACAUACCACGCAGACCCAGAAAAUGCUGAGUGGACUGCACAGCGGCCCAGCCUUAAGAAGAAGGAAAAGAAGAUCCCAGAUGAGGCCCUUGAGGAUGAAGCCGCAUAAUCAACUCCUGCUGCUUGGUCUCAUCAACGUGCACAUUACUACGCGGACUUCACAAUACCUCCAGCUAUUGGGUAUGUGGGGCUAUGCCUCUGUCUGUGAUGGAUGGACUUCCCUGGUGGCUGUCACUGCUCCACUAAGGAGAUUUUAAACCACUCUGCUCUUUUCUGGGACACAGUCAUAAUCUCUCCCUGCUCUCUGGGUGUAAGCCAGACCUACAGUGAAUAGACUCGGGUCAUAAGGUUACAUUUGAUAUAAAUGCCAGUGUAACAAAAGCCUAACCUACAACAAGCCCCAGUAAAUCUACUUUAUUUACAUGCUAGGUGGACAAGAUCUGUGUUUCAGUGGCAUGAAUAUAUUGCUGCUUUAUUCAUACCCUCUAUAGGGACAACAGAUAUUAUGAUUAAAGUAGAGGCCUUGACUAAUUUCACAAAACAGGCCCUCCUAGAUAGAACAAAAGCCAUCCAAGCUUUAAAUGAAAAGCAAAUCCAAAUAAGAAAAGGUGUAGUUCAAAUAGAAUGGCUUUGGACAUACAGCUGCUCAAGGAGGGACCUGUGCUGUAAUUAAGGUUGAACGUUGUGUAUGCAUUCCUGACUUAUCUGGCAAUAUAUCCACUGCUUUAGAUGACAUGAAAAACCAGGUAAAAGUGAUGUCAAAUGAAAACAUUCCUUUCUGGACUUUGCUCCUAUCUUGGGUGAAGGGCGAUUGGUGGAAAACUGUAUUUACCAUUGUUAUAGUUGCCUUGGUAGUUCUGCUUUGUGGACCCUGAAUUUUACAAUGUAUUAUGAGCUUUGUAACCCGAAGGUUGAUGUCAUUCUCCCAAAUUGGCGGUUGGAGAGCCAGGGUGCAAUAUAUCCCUAUGAGUGAUGCUCAUAAUAUGAGUUAAGAGCAUCAAGAGCGGGAAUGAAGGAGGAAACAGACAGAGCUGGACUCCAUCGUAGGCCAGGCCGCGAACAUUAGGCUACACACAUGGUCAGCCUCCCAAUGGACUCUGAACUUUGUGCCCGUGUCUAUAGAAACGGCAUACCAAUGGAAAACCAGACCCCCGGAUAAAAGAGCCUCAGGACUUGUACUUGGACUCUCCGUUGCCCAAAAGAAUAUGCUAAUUAUCUCUGUAACAGAACAAAGUGGUAAAUUCCAUUAUGUUUAUCGGGAUAUGACCACAGGCCUGUUGAUAAAUAUCCACUGUUUAUCUAGUCUUGUGACACGUGAAUCAUGGGUUAACUUUGAUCGUGUCUCUCUUUUACCUUGUUCGGACUAGUUUCAAGGAAUCUGGGGAGGUGGGUUUGAGCAAGUACACUUAGGGUAUAUAAGGUUUUCACAAAAACUGGUCGGGGUCCUUGGCUAAGAGGAGACUCUGCCUCGGGCCCGCCGGUGUAAUAAACUGCGCUCCAUCUGCAUUGUCCUUCUGAGUGAGUUUGUUUCCCGGAACGCGUGGCUACAACAGCAGCUUAUCACAGCAGUCUGUCUUUGAAUAAGACUAUGCAUACUGGACAAGACAUUUAUAGGAC